rnacentral:rRNA from 1 species
UACGUAGGGUGCAAGCGUUAAUCGGAAUUACUGGGCGUAAAGCGUGCGCAGGCGGUUUUGUAAGUCUGACGUGAAAUCCCCGGGCUCAACCUGGGAAUGGCAAUGGAGACUGCAAGGCUAGAGUUUGGCAGAGGGGGGUAGAAUUCCACGUGUAGCAGUGAAAUGCGUAGAGAUGUGGAGGAACACCGAUGGCGAAGGCAGCCCCCUGGGUCAAAACUGACGCUCAUGCACGAAAGCGUGGGGAGCAAACAGG